GCUGGGUGUGGUGGUGCACACCUGUAGUCUCAGCUACCAGGGAGGCUGAGGCAGGAGAAUUGCUUGAACCCAGGAGGCGGAGGUUGCAGUGAGCCGAGAUCAUACCAUUGCACUCCAACCUGGGUGACAGAGCAAGACUCUGUCUCAA
rfam:Pan troglodytes isolate Yerkes chimp pedigree #C0471 (Clint) chromosome 2A, whole genome shotgun sequence.